UACGUAGGGCGCAAGCGUUGUCCGGAAUUAUUGGGCGUAAAGAGCUCGUAGGCGGCUUGUCGCGUCCGAUGUGAAAUCCCCGGGCUCAACCUGGGAACUGCGUUGGAAACUACGAGGCUGGAGUACGGCAGAGGGGGGUGGAAUUCCACGUGUAGCAGUGAAAUGCGUAGAUAUGUGGAGGAACACCGAUGGCGAAGGCAGCCCCCUGGGCUAGUACUGACGCUCAUGCACGAAAGCGUGGGGAGCAAACAGG
rnacentral:rRNA from 1 species